rnacentral:rRNA from 1 species
GUAGGGAAUAUUGGGCAAUGGAUGCAAGUCUGACCCAGCCAUCCCGCGUGCCGGAAGAAGGCCCUCAGGGUUGUAAACGGCUUUUGAUGGUGAAGAAUCGACAGGAUGCGUCCUGUUUUGACGGUAGCCGUUGAAUAAGCACCGGCUAACUCCGUGCCAGCAGCCGCGGUAAUACGGAGGGUGCGAGCGUUGUCCGGAUUUAUUGGGUUUAAAGGGUGCGUAGGCUGGAAGGUCAGUCAGCGGUGAAAAGCUAUCGCUUAACGAUAGUCUUGCCGCAGAUACUUCCUUUCUUGGAUGAGGAGGAGGCCACUGUAACGGAUGGUGUAGCGGUGAAAUGCAUAGAUAUCAUCCAGAACACCGAUUGCGAAGGCAGGUGGCUGUACCUUAAUCGACGCUGAUGCACGAAAGCAUGGGGAGCAAACAGGAUUAGAUACCCCUGUAGUCC